GCACCAUUGGGUUAGUGGUAAACUACGGCCUUGCCAUCUUCCGAUAUUAUUACGCAAGUUGGCCGUGCCCCAUGUUCGAUUCAUGGAUGGUGCA